GGGGGCGGUCAGGUGUGUCCCCCCCCCCCAAGGUGACAUCGAUGUCCCCCCCUCCACCCAUAGAGGCUCAUUGGGGUGGUGGUGGGGGGGUCAGCUGUGUCGUCCCCCCCCAUAGAGGCUCAUGGAGGGGGGGGGUCAGGUGUGUCCCCCCCCCCAAUCCAUAGAGGCUCAUUGGGGGGGGGGUCAGGUGUGUGUCCCCCCCCCUCAAGGUCACAUCGGUGCCCCCCCCACCCAUAGAGGCUCAUGGAGGGGGGUCAGGUGUGUUUCCCCCCCCCCGCUAGGUGACAUCGAUGUCCCCCCCCACCCAUAGAGGCUCAUGGGGGGGGGCUUAGGUGUGUCCCCCCCCCCCAAGGUGACAUUGGUGUCACCCCCCCACCCAUAGAGGCUCAUUGGGGUGGGGGGGGAGGGUGAUAUGUGUUCCCCCCACCCAUAGAGGCUCAUUGGGGGGGGGGUUAGGUGUGUGUCCCCCCCUCCCAAGGUGACAUCGAUGUCCCCCCCCACCCAUAGAGGCUCGUGGGGGGGGGGUCAGGUGUGCCCCCCCCCAAGGUGACAUCGGUGCCCCCCCUCCACCCAUAGAGGCUCAUUGUGGGGGGGGGGGGGAGGGUUCAGUUGUGUUCCCCCCCACCCAUAGAGGCUCAUUGGGGGGGGGUCAGGUGUCCGUCCCCCCCCCCAAGGUGACAUCGAUGCCCCCCCCCCACCCAUAGAGGCUCAUUGGGGGGGGGUCAGAUGUGUGUCCCCCCCCUUAAGGUGACAUCGCUGUGUCCCCCCCUCCCCAUAGAGGCUCAUGGGGGAGGGGGGGGGGGUCAGCUGUGUCCCCCCCCCCCCCCCCCAAGGUGACAUCAGUGCCCCCCCCCCAACCCAUAGAGGCUCAUGGGGGUGGGGGGGGGGGGUCCAUCGGAACGGAGCUGAUGAGGAACACUUUGACGUAAUGCACCGCCUGUAAGGGGGGGGGGGG
rnacentral:lncRNA from 1 species